UACGUUCCCGGGCCUUGUACACACCGCCCGUCACACCAUGGGAGUCGGUUUCACCAGAAGUAGGUUGCCUAACCUUCGGGGGGCGCUUACCACGGUGGGGUCGAUGACUGGGGUG
rnacentral:rRNA from 1 species